UCGCGGGAGUCGCGACAGAGGAGUGCUCGGAGGGUGCACGCGGAACACUGUCAACUGCUGUGUAAGCACUCCAAAGUAGCAAACAAGUAGUUCUGCACUGCAGUUAAUAACUCAGAUUCAAUGUAACAUAAAAUGAUGUAAUUAUACGUAAUGUAUAACAUGUUCUGGUGUUGAUGGGAAGACAACUGCAGUGAUAAAAGUACUGCAGUUAGAAAUGGACCAGAAUACCCAAAAGUUGUACUGUCAGGUUGACGAAGCAGAGUUCGCGCGGAAGAUUGGUGUCCUCCAGACUAUAAUAAUGUUUCAUAAAAAAAUGUAUCUUUCUGAACUGAAAGUCAACAAUGAUUGGAGAUAACUGCUGGAGAUUUAACAGAAAGGUACUGAAAAUGGCGCGAUCUCAAUCCUACCCUGUCAGACAAAAUUGGCGGGAAAUUCACGUGGAUGACGAGUGUCAUCCGCGCGAGUGACGGAGGGUUACGUUAAAAUGUUUCUGUACUCUUGUAUAAGCAUAUUUACUUUUUUUCUAGAAUACUAUACCUGUUUUACUAAUGUGCAGAUUAUUUUGUAUACUGCUUGUCUGUCAGUGAUAUAGUACAUAUGUAGAAGAGACAGAAAAUUUUAAUGUGUGCCCUGUGUAAUGAUGAAAAUUUGUUUCUUUAAACUAAAGUGAAAAUGAAAAGUACUGUAGAUGUCUUAUUAUGAAAAUG